CCUACGGGAGGCAGCAGUGGGGAAUAUUGCACAAUGGGCGAAAGCCUGAUGCAGCAACGCCGCGUGAAGGAAGAAGGCCUUCGGGUCGUAAACUUCUGUCCUUGGUGAAGAAGAACUGACGGUACCCAAGGAGGAAGCCCCGGCUAACUACGUGCCAGCAGCCGCGGUAAAUCGGGGGGGGCAAGCGUUAUCCGGAAUGAUUGGGAGUAAAGAGUAAGUAGGUGGCAACCUAAGCGCAGGGUUUAAGGCAAUGGCUCAACCAUUGUUCGCCCUGCGAACUGGGAUGCUUGAGUGCAGGAGAGGAAAGCGGAAUUCGUAGUGUAGCGGUGAAAUGCGUAGAUAUUACGAGGAACACCAGUGGCGAAGGCAGCUUUCUAGACUGUCACUGACACUGAGGUACGAAAGCGUGGGGAGCAAACAGGAUUAGAUACCCCAGUAGUC
rnacentral:rRNA from 1 species